GGUCCAAGACUCCCGCUUGUGGCUAUGCUGACCAGGGAUAAUGGGAGCUGUAGUCCAAUCAUCAGGUGGGUGCCAGGUGGUCUAUGGCUGCUGUAAGGGAUGGGCUGGAGUCUGGUGUGAGUGUGGAAUGGCACACGAGCAGAGUGGCAGGACACUGGCUGGAAAGCACAUGCUGGAUUUGCACCUGAGCCCAGGCCUCCCACUUGAGCUUUAUGAACUCCCUCACGCCCUGCUGCCUGACCAUGGGUGCCCCCUCCCUUUUGCUGUGGCUGCCUGGUGAGCCCGGUUUCCCCCCUGCAGGGCUCAGAGUCAGGCUCAGACCAUCCCCACCGCACAGCCAAGCGCAAGAAACGAAACCAUUCGGAAUCAGCUGGCUCGGGGGCAUCUUCCUCUCCGGAUUCAGAGCACAGCACCAGGCGUUCCAAGAGGCAGAAGAAGAAAAGCAAGAAAAAAAGACACAAGUCGGUGAGUCUGCACUCGUAGGCCAUGGGGUGGGACCAGUCCAGGAGAAGGAGAGAGGCAGGGCAGUGUGUGGAAAGCCAAGUUCUUUAGAAUAGAGACGCAGAAAUCUUGACAAGACGGGGA
ensembl:lncRNA